UGGGGAAUUUUGGACAAUGGGCGAAGCCUGAUCCAGCAAUGCCGCGUGUGUGAAGAAGGCCUUCGGGUUGUAAAGCACUUUUGUCCGGAAAGAAAUCCUUGGCUCUAAUACAGUCGGGGGAUGACGGUACCGGAAGAAUAAGCACCGGCUAACUACGUGCCAGCAGCCGCGGUAAUACGUAGGGUGCAAGCGUUAAUCGGAAUUACUGGGCGUAAAGCGUGCGCAGGGCGGUUUGCUAAGACCGAUGUGAAAUCCCCGGGCUCAACCUGGGAACUGCAUUGGUGACUGGCAGGCUAGAGUAUGGCAGAGGGGGGUAGAAUUCCACGUGUAGCAGUGAAAUGCGUAGAGAUGUGGAGGAAUACCGAUGGCGAAGGCAGCCCCCUGGGCCAAUACUGACGCUCAUGCACGAAAGCGUGGGGGAGCAAACAGGAUUAGAUACCCUGGUAGUCCACGCCCUAAACGAUGUCAACUAGUUGUUGGGGGAUUCAAUUUCCUUAGUAACGUAGCUAACGCGUGAAGUUGACCGCCUGGGGAGUACGGUCG
rnacentral:rRNA from 1 species